rnacentral:rRNA from 1 species
CAGCAGCCACGGUAAUACGGAGGGUGCAAGCGUUAAUCGGAAUUACUGGGCGUAAAGCGCACGCAGGCGGUCUGACAAGUCAGAUGUGAAAUCCCCGGGCUUAACCUGGGAACUGCAUUUGAAACUGUCAGGCUGGAGUCUUGUAGAGGGGGGUAGAAUUCCAGGUGUAGCGGUGAAAUGCGUAGAGAUCUGGAGGAAUACCGGUGGCGAAGGCGGCCCCUGGACAAAGACUGACGCUCAGGUGCGAAAGCGUGGGGAGCAAACAGGAUUAGAUACCCCUGUAGUCCCUGUCUCUUAUACA